UACAGAGGUCUCAAGCGUUGUUCGGAUUCAUUGGGCGUAAAGGGUGUGUAGGUGGCGCCGUAAGUCGGGUGUGAAAUUUCGGAGCUUAACUCCGAAACUGCAUUCGAUACUGCGGUGCUUUGAGGACUGGAGAGGAGACUGGAAUUCAUGGUGUAGCAGUGAAAUGCGUAGAGAUCAUGAGGAAGACCAGUGGCGAAGGCGGGUCUCUGGACAGUUCCUGACACUGAGACACGAAGGCCAGGGGAGCAAAACGGG
rnacentral:rRNA from 1 species